rnacentral:rRNA from 1 species
GAUGAACGCUAGCGACAGGCUUAACACAUGCAAGUCGAGGGGCAGCGGAGUGUAGCAAUACACCGCCGGCGACCGGCGCACGGGUGAGUAACGCGUAUGCAACUUGCCUAUCAGAGGGGGAUAACCCGGCGAAAGUCGGACUAAUACCGCAUGAAGCAGGGGCCCCGCAUGGGGAUAUUUGCUAAAGAUUCAUCGCUGAUAGAUAGGCAUGCGUUCCAUUAGGCAGUUGGCGGGGUAACGGCCCACCAAACCGACGAUGGAUAGGGGUUCUGAGAGGAAGGUCCCCCACAUUGGUACUGAGACACGGACCAAACUCCUACGGGAGGCAGCAGUGAGGAAUAUUGGUCAAUGGGCGCGAGCCUGAACCAGCCAAGUCGCGUGAGGGAUGAAGGUUCUAUGGAUCGUAAACCUCUUUUAUAAGGGAAUAAAGUGCGGGACGUGUCCCGUUUUGUAUGUACCUUAUGAAUAAGGAUCGGCUAACUCCGUGCCAGCAGCCGCGGUAAUACGGAGGAUCCGAGCGUUAUCCGGAUUUAUUGGGUUUAAAGGGUGCGUAGGCGGCCUUUUAAGUCAGCGGUGAAAGUCUGUGGCUCAACCAUAGAAUUGCCGUUGAAACUGGGGGGCUUGAGUAUGUUUGAGGCAGGCGGAAUGCGUGGUGUAGCGGUGAAAUGCUUAGAUAUCACGCAGAACCCCGAUUGCGAAGGCAGCCUGCCAAGCCAUGACUGACGCUGAUGCACGAAAGCGUGGGGAUCAAACAGGAUUAGAUACCCUGGUAGUCCACGCAGUAAACGAUGAUCACUAGCUGUUUGCGAUACAGUGUAAGCGGCACAGCGAAAGCGUUAAGUGAUCCACCUGGGGAGUACGCCGGCAACGGUGAAACUCAAAGGAAUUGACGGGGGCCCGCACAAGCGGAGGAACAUGUGGUUUAAUUCGAUGAUACGCGAGGAACCUUACCCGGGUUUGAACGCAUUCGGACCGAGGUGGAAACACCUUUUCUAGCAAUAGCCGUUUGCGAGGUGCUGCAUGGUUGUCGUCAGCUCGUGCCGUGAGGUGUCGGCUUAAGUGCCAUAACGAGCGCAACCCUUGCCACUAGUUACUAACAGGUGAUGCUGAGGACUCUGGUGGGACUGCCAGCGUAAGCUGCGAGGAAGGCGGGGAUGACGUCAAAUCAGCACGGCCCUUACAUCCGGGGCGACACACGUGUUACAAUGGCGUGGACAAAGGGAGGCCACCUGGCGACAGGGAGCGAAUCCCCAAACCACGUCUCAGUUCGGAUCGGAGUCUGCAACCCGACUCCGUGAAGCUGGAUUCGCUAGUAAUCGCGCAUCAGCCAUGGCGCGGUGAAUACGUUCCCGGGCCU